GUCUACCAUCAUACCACCCUAAUGCACUGGAUCUCAUCUGAUCUUGGAAGCUAAGCAGAGUCCAGCCUGGUUAGUACUUGAAUGGGAGACCACUUGGGAAGACCGGGUGCUGUAGGGU
rnacentral:rRNA from 1 species